CCCCCUCCAGGUAGCUCCAUAAACACCGCUGACAUUUUCCAGCCUUGCCCUGUAAUGCACUACUGGACACAGACCCUUCACCUCUUUCUCUGGAGCUCUACGGCAGCCACCAGCACAGAGGGAGGAGAAAUCACCCUUACAGAUAUCUGGCUGUGCAAUGAAGUUAACAAGUACGUACAAAAAACAACCCCCAGUUCUGCGCAGGACCCCCGACUUUGCUGCAGUAGCACUGGAAAUUGGAGCGAAGACUGGGAGCAAGCUAACCUUCCCUACUGGCGACAGAUCCAAGCCACACAGUUUGGAUCCAGACCUCCCAGAUGCCAGAGAGCUCCACCAGUGUGGCAAGACUUUUUUCUUAUUACACAGUUGCCAGCUAUAGUAUCUGCCACCCUCUACAGCCAUUUGAUGUGCAAAGAAGCUGUCCUGCCAAUAACAUGCUGUUUCUUCAAUCUGAUGCAACACAUUUAAAUCAGGUGUGUAAAUAGAAAGUCAACGUUCAAAAGCCAGCCUGAAGCUAUUAAGCAACAAGAGAGAUUUCUUCAUAUGAAGAUGAUUUUAAACACAGAAUUUAAAAAACAUGAGAUGGGACCCAGACAAGCAACUUUGCAAAGGAAAGCCCUCUCUUCAGAUGCCACGCAGCAACAGUGAAGUGCUCUCCCACCAAGGCUUCUUUCAUCGUAACCCAGAAUGGUAACCUCAGACGCGGGGUGGCAGCUUAUCUUCAGUGGCCCCUUGAAUGCCCCCCCUUCCUGUUGACACUCAUCCUUUGGGUGGAGUCUUCAAAUGAGUUAUCUCCCAUGCACAAAGAGAUUAAAAGCCAGCAGCCUCCAGUGAAAGGCUUUCUAUCCUCUAUGCUAUGCUCCCCUGGGUAGCUUGCAAUACCUUCAAAUUUCAUAUAUAGCAUUUUCAAAGAUAAAUGAUUUAGGGGGAUUUUCAGCACGGGCAGAAUCUGCCCUGCAAGUACCACCACAGCUUUAUCCCUGCUGUUGUAAGAAACUGCAUGCAUACAUAUAGCUAUGGACUUUUCCCCAGACAAGGUGAUAUACAUCUACACAAACCCUAAACUUAAAAAUGGAAACAAAACCAGUUUAAUAUACAAAAUCCAACUAAGUGACAAUCAUACUCUACAGAAAAUAAAUCUUCUUGUUUUGGAGUUUUUAUGUUUCAGAGACUGCAUUUCAGAUUAGCAGCAGAAAACCAUAUCCUGAAGAGCCAGCCGCAGAAACCCAUUACAAACAGAUACACACUUAAAUAUGAGACAUUGCUGCCAGACAUUUUCAACAAACUGCAAACUUACUGCAUAUUCAACCAUCCUGAAUAGUCCCCAGGGACCAUUUUCUAUGGUAAUAUUCAAGAUGUGUAAGUGUCACCAUGUAGGAAGCAGCACAAUCCCAUAACCUGUUACCUAGCUUGUACACACAGUGCAAUUCAAAGCAUGUAGGUUUUUCUUUUGAAGCAGUGAAGUAGGGCUAAAAACUGCCUCCUGCAUGUAGUUAUUAAUACAGAAAAGUAGACUUAAAUCGUUGCCCACAUGUCAGAUGAAAUAAAGUCUAAUGUGGUUCUG